UUUUAUAAAUAAUUUGAUUGAGGUUAUUUAAAUAUAAAAAGAUUAAAAUAAAAUUAUUUAUUUUAUUGGGGUGAUAGAAAAAUAAAUAUAACUUUUUUUAAAAAUUAAAACAUUUAUAAGUGAUUAAAUGAUCCAAUAUUAUUGAUUAU
rnacentral:rRNA from 1 species